rnacentral:lncRNA from 1 species
UAGACUUCACUUUUCUUGAAUUUUGUAAGGAAAAAUGUUGUUAGUGGGAAGUGUCUUUAAACUCAUUUUCCACAGACAGAGAUGACUUUCUCAGCCCAGCCCUAGGCUUGGUCGUUUGUUGACCACAUUUGAAAUAAUGGUGGAAAUCAAUGUCGUCAUUGUUUAGGUUAUUUUUAUGCUCUGCAAGAGAGGGGUGACUGCUGGAGGAAAAAGAGCAUGGCUGAUGCUAUGCUCUUGACUAGAAUGGAAAUCCAGCAAAAUGUCCAUCCAGAUCAAAUGCAGACACAAGAGCAGGGAUGAAAG